UACGUAGGGGGCAAGCGUUGUCCGGAUUCAUUGGGCGUAAAGAGCGUGUAGGCGGCCAGGUAGGUCGGUUGUGAAAACUGGAGGCUCAACCUUCAGAGGUCGACCGAAACCAUCUGGCUAGAGUCCGGGAGAGGAGAGUGGAAUUCCUGGUGUAGCGGUGAAAUGCGCAGAUAUCAGGAAGAACACCCGUGGCGAAAGCGGGUCUCUGGGCCGAUACUGACGCUGAGGAGCGAAAGCGUGGGGAGCGAACAGG
rnacentral:rRNA from 1 species